GACUAUUUGUUGUAUUUUUAUUUGCAAAUCACAGUAAUGUUACCUUUCAGGUAAACAGAGUGUGUGGAGAGCUGUUUGGAUCAUUUUUCCGUCGCUCCAUCGUCAACUCAUUCAGGAGUGGAUCAGUGGUUGUCAACAUGACCCUUGUGUUCACAGAUAAAAACUCUGUUCCGUCAGCAAGUACUGCAACUUCACAACUCAGUAGUGCACUUACGAGCACCUCUACGUCCCUGAACAUUAUACCGGGCAGCGUGUCUGCGGAGUCAACAUCAACAUCAAGCAGUUCUCCUCGUCCCACAGUGGGCUCAUUGGUCUUUUCCCUAAAACUGCUGGCUGUGGGACAGAUUCUGAGAGACUUAUAGCCUGCAGCCAAAUAGCUUUUAUCAACUUUAUCAG